UUGAACGCUGGCGGCAUGCUUUACACAUGCAAGUCGAACGGCAGCGGGGGCUUCGGCCUGCCGGCGAGUGGCGAACGGGUGAGUAAUGCAUCGGAACGUACCCAGUCGUGGGGGAUAACUACGCGAAAGCGUGGCUAAUACCGCAUACGCCCUGAGGGGGAAAGCGGGGGACCUUCGGGCCUCGCGCGAUUGGAGUGGCCGAUAUCUGAUUAGCUAGAUGGUGAGGUAAAGGCUCACCAUGGCGACGAUCAGUAGCGGGUCUGAGAGGAUGAUCCGUCACACUGGAACUGAGACACGGUCCAGACUCCUACGGGAGGCAGCAGUGGGGAAUUUUGGACAAUGGGGGCAACCCUGAUCCAGCCAUUCCGCGUGAGUGAAGAAGGCCUUCGGGUUGUAAAGCUCUUUCAGCCGGAACGAAACGGUACGCUCUAACAUAGCGUGCUAAUGACGGUACCGGCAGAAGAAGCACCGGCUAACUACGU
rnacentral:rRNA from 1 species